rnacentral:rRNA from 1 species
AGAGUUUGAUCCUGGCUCAGAUUGAACGCUGGCGGAAUGCUUUACACAUGCAAGUCGAACGGCAGCACGGACUUCGGUCUGGUGGCGAGUGGCGAACGGGUGAGUAAUACAUCGGAACGUGCCCAGUCGUGGGGGAUAACGUAGCGAAAGCUACGCUAAUACCGCAUACGAUCUACGGAUGAAAGCGGGGGAUCGCAAGACCUCGCGCGAUUGGAGCGGCCGAUGGCAGAUUAGGUAGUUGGUGGGGUAAAGGCUCACCAAGCCGACGAUCUGUAGCUGGUCUGAGAGGACGACCAGCCACACUGGGACUGAGACACGGCCCAGACUCCUACGGGAGGCAGCAGUGGGGAAUUUUGGACAAUGGGCGCAAGCCUGAUCCAGCCAUUCCGCGUGCAGGAUGAAGGCCCUCGGGUUGUAAACUGCUUUUGUACAGAACGAAAAGGCUCUGGUUAAUACCUGGGGCUCAUGACGGUACUGUAAGAAUAAGCACCGGCUAACUACGUGCCAGCAGCCGCGGUAAU